AUUGAACGCUGGCGGCGUGCCUAACACAUGCAAGUCGAGCGGUAGCAGGUGUAGCAAUACAUGCUGACGAGCGGCGGACGGGUGAGUAACGCUUGGGAAUCUGCCUGUUAGUGGGGGACAACCCGGGGAAACUCGGGCUAAUACCGCAUACGCACUACGGUGGAAAGUCGGGGACCGCAAGGCCUGACGCUAACAGAUGAGCCCAAGUCGGAUUAGCUAGUUGGUGAGGUAAUGGCUCACCAAGGCGACGAUCCGUAACUGGUCUGAGAGGACGACCAGUCACAACGGAACUGAGACACGGUCCGGACUCCUACGGGAGGCAGCAGUGGGGAAUAUUGGACAAUGGGGGAAACCCUGAUCCAGCGACGCCGCGUGGGUGAAGAAGGCCUGCGGGUUGUAAAGCCCUUUCGGUUGGGAAGAAAAGUUGUGACCUAACACGUCGCGACCUUGACGUAACCAACUAAAGAAGCACCGGCUAACUCUGUGCCAGCCGCCGCGGUAAUAC
rnacentral:rRNA from 1 species